rnacentral:rRNA from 1 species
AACGAACGCUGGCGGCAUGCCUAACACAUGCAAGUCGAACGAGGUCUUCGGGUCUAGUGGCGCACGGGUGCGUAACGCGUGGGAAUCUGCCCUUUGGUUCGGAAUAACAGUUGGAAACGACUGCUAAUACCGGAUGAUGACGAAAGUCCAAAGAUUUAUCGCCAGAGGAUGAGCCCGCGUAGGAUUAGCUAGUUGGUGUGGUAAAGGCGCACCAAGGCGACGAUCCUUAGCUGGUCUGAGAGGAUGAUCAGCCACACUGGGACUGAGACACGGCCCAGACUCCUACGGGAGGCAGCAGUGGGGAAUAUUGGACAAUGGGCGAAAGCCCGAUCCAGCAAUGCCGCGUGAGUGAUGAAGGCCUUAGGGUUGUAAAGCUCUUUUACCCGGGAUGAUGAUGACAGUACCGGGAGAAUAAGCUCCGGCUAACUCCGUGCCAGCCGCCGCCGUAA